GAAUUAAAAAUAAAUAUAAUAAUUUAUUUUAAUUUUAAUUUAAGUGUAUUUUUACAGUGUAAUAUGAAAUCAUUUCAAAAUUAUUAUAAAUGAAUAAAUAAUUUAUUUUAAAUUUAAAUCAUAUGAUUUUUAGUUAUAGAUUUUUUUUAAAAAAAAUCUUACAUAUGUAUAUAUAUAUAUAUAUAUAUAUACACACAUAUGGAUACGCUUUCAACACGUACUCGCUUCCUAAUUUUUUAAAAAAUCUCACUUAUGUGCUUCCAUACGCUUCCGCUUCCACGUACCCGCUUAAGUUUCCAUGUAACAUAACUGUAGGUAAACUUAAAAUACCAUGAAUAUGUAUUAUUAAUCUGCAAAAGAAGCGGUUUACGUAGUUUCUAGAUAUAAACGUAAUCCCUUAUAUAUUAAUUAAGAAAUAUUACAACGUUAUUUUGUAACCACGUGUCACCAUGAGAAUGAAAUUCAGAAUUCUUAGAUGAGUAUUUUUAAGAAUUUUUCAUCAAUAGGUUGUAUUUUUAAAUAAUUUUCUUAAAAACUGUUAUUUUUGAAAAGUUUUCAUUUUCUUGAGAAAUAUUGUAGAUUUGGGUUUGUGUGUAAGAAAUUAGGAUACCAAGAAUAUUUGUGGAUAGAUGAGUAUUUUGUAAGAAUUUUUCAUCAAUAGGUUGUAUUUUUAAAUUAUUCUCUUAAAAACUGUUAUUUUUGGAAAGUUUUCAUUUUUUUGAGAAAUAUUGUAGAUUUGGGUUUGUGAUUUAUAAAUUAGGAUAACAAGAAUACUUGUGGAUAGAUGAGUAUUCUUUAAGAAUUUUUCAUCAAUAUAUUGUAUUUUUAAAUAAUUUUCUUAAAAACUGCUAUUUUGGGAAAGUUUUCAUUUUCUUGAGAAAUAUUGUAGAUUUGGGAUUGUUAUUUAUAAAUUAGGAUAA